rnacentral:piRNA from 1 species
AGGCCGAAUUGUGACUUCCACUUCC